rnacentral:sRNA from 1 species
GAGCAACAAUUUGGCCAUCUUGAACAAACCCACCACCAGUCUCCCUUGUCCCCAUAACUGCACAUUAUCCUUCAUCAUCAAAUAUUGUUCAUCUGUCUGCAGUUGCAGUUGAAGUUGGGAAAUGAAAGACAAGUAGAAGAACUCAAUUUAGCAACAUCCUUUCCUUCCCAUGCCAGUGUAUGCUCUUGGCUGAAUCUGCAGAGCCAGGGCACAGCGAGAAAUAGCUCUGAUGCCAUCUUUCCACUCUCCUCCACAGUCUCCUCUCCCACAGUGGGCAAGCCCUACAAGUGUAACUACUGUGGCCGGAGCUACAAACAGCAGAGUACCCUGGAGGAGCACAAGGAGCGGUGCCAUAACUACCUACAGAGUCUCAGCACUGAAGCCCAAGCUUUGGCUGGCCAACCAGGUGACGAAAUACGUGACCUGGAGAUGGUGCCAGACUCCAUGCUGCACUCAUCCUCUGAGCGGCCAACUUUCAUCGAUCGUCUGGCCAAUAGCCUCACCAAACGCAAGCGUUCCACACCCCAGAAGUUUGUAGGCGAAAAGCAGAUGCGCUUCAGCCUCUCAG